UCAAACUUGGUCAUUUAGAGGAAGUAAAAGUCGUAACAAGGUCUCCGUUGGUGAACCAGCGGAGGGAUCAUUACAGAAGAGAUUCGUCUCUCCAACCAUGUGAAUCUACCUGUUCGUUGCUUGGGUAGGCGGUCCCGGGGGGACCUGUAGCCCUCGUGGUGCCUGCCCGAAGCGCAAACCGAAACCUCUGUUGACAUAGUGGCUUCUGAGAAACUAUACAAGCAUUAAAACUUUCAACAACGGAUCUCUUGGUUCUGGCAUCGAUGAAGAACGCAGC
rnacentral:misc_RNA from 1 species